UCGGAUUGUAGUCUGCAACCCGACUACAUGAAGCUGGAAUCGCUAGUAAUCGCAGAUCAGAAUGCUGCGGUGAAUACGUUCCCGGGUCUUGUACACACCGCCCGUCACACCAUGGGAGUCGGAAAUGCCCGAAGCCAGUGACCCAACCUUAAGGAGGGAGCUGUCGAAGGUGGAGCCGGUAACUGGGGUGAAGUCGUAACAAGGUAAC
rnacentral:rRNA from 1 species